GGCGUCAUGACUGGUUCGGCCGACGCAUUAAACUGGUAUAGACCAUUAGACCAGUGUCUACAACUGUCUAGUAUUUAUUAUAAACUAGUGCUGGUAGGUUGUGGUUAGUCGAGUUUAAGUAUAUUGUUCCGUAAUGCCGCUACGACUCGUUUGGUGUUAUUAAUACAUAAAAUUAAAUUGUUUAAUUUCCGAGUGUGAUUGACUAUAAUACGCCUACUAUAGAAUUUAAUGAAUAGAUGGUUCCGUGAAGUGGCGGACAUACUGGUAACCACAUAAUAUUGUAAAUAUUUGUCGCCUUCCGAUAAUCAGAAUCAGCAAUCAAACAAUCAGCAAUAGUCUCAACGACGCAAUGAAUACGUCGAAGACCUCGGACAUAUCAGAAAAUCGAUUAUUAAAAAAAGAAAUAACUGAUUAAGAAACUAGUUUCAAAAUUCAAUUAGAUAUCUGCGGCAAAUACAAAAUCUAGUGACUAUUGGACAAGCUGAGAGGAAGCUUAAGGAAAUGGAACACGAAACUGCUCAACUAAGAAAUAAGUUCAAAAUAUUAUCAUUAAUUGAUUUUGAGCCACCUCCUCCAAUUCUAACUAAUAUACUUAGUGCUUUGAGUCGAGCUCCAAGUCAACGAGCUCCUUUACCAAGGAGGCACAGUCAAUCUGAUUUUCUGCCACUUUUACAAAUUUCUUCCGCAUAUCAGCUAUUGAUUCAAAGAUAAACUAUAAGAAUCGUGAAAAUCAAUUGGGUCAUUCGAAUGAAUCACUUGACAAGUAAUUAUAUAAUUUUGCACACAUAUUGUUACAAUUAUGAUAUGCAAAUUUCUGAAAUUAUUUUCAGAAUUUUGGUUUUACACAUUUCUUACAAUUGUUAUAUUUAUUUUUGUUUUCACUAUUAAACUUGAUAGUAAUUUCACUGCGAUUUAUUGCAUUAUUUAACUGUCUACAUUAUAACUGCAAUGAAAUGUGUGUGCAAAAAAAAAUUCAUUUGAUUCUAUUUUUCAAGGGGUACCUAAACCACUACUACACAAUAGUGCACUAAUAAGUAAUAAUAUCUAAAUUCUAACAUUGCUAAACAUAUUUUUAUUAAAAACUAAACCCAUCUGAAUUGAACUAGAAAUUUGUUAAGGCAAAAUUAAUAUUUAAUCUUUCGAUAUUAAAACAAUUGAAAACAUUUAGUUAUGAUUAAAUUUUAAGUUGUUCUCUUUUAUCAAUUUAUAAUACAGGGUCAGUCAUAAUAAAUUUUUGAACACGUUA